GGAUUGUUGAAGAGUCCCAUACUAGGACGAAACGGUCGUCCAUUGC
rnacentral:hammerhead_ribozyme from 1 species